GACAAAGAAGUGAGGUGUGUGUGCGAGUGUAUAACCUGAUGAAGCUCAAGAAGAAAACACAAACAAAGCAAAGAAAAGGAAGCUCUGUCUUUGUAGCCGAAAAAGAGAGUGAGACAGAGCCGAGAGAGAGGGAGAGAAAGCCACUGUUUUUCUUUUUGUGUGUGCUGGAACUAGAGUUAAAGGAAGAAAUUAGGAGCAAAGAGGAAGGUAAAGAGUAACAAUAAGAGGCUCAAGAAUUCAUCUUGGAAGAAUAAUAGGUGAUCAGGCGCGUGACUAGACUUAGAGGCACCUGCCUAGAAUCUGUUUUUGUCAGCCAACCUAUGUGCCUCCCGUGGAGGUUCCGGAUGUGUCAAAUGAUUAUGGCUAUGCGAUUUAAAGUUUAAGUUUUGCUUUCUUGUUUGGUUAAACAAGUCUUGUGUAUUUUGUAUAUGGGGCUAGUCUCUUUUUUGUCUAAUCUAUAUAUAGAUGAUGACUUAAAGAUAAUGUGUAUAUAUGUAUAUAAAAAGUUUAAAUUUUUUUUUGUCUCA